rnacentral:tRNA from 1 species
UCCCUGGUGGUCCAGUAGCUAAGACUGCACUCCCAGUGCAGGGGGUCUGGGUUCGAUCCCUAGUCGGGGAA